GACAGAGGGUGCAAACGUUGUCCGGAAUUACUGGGCGUAAAGCGAGUGUAGGCGGUCUGAAAAGUCGGAUGUGAAAGCCCCGGGCUCAACCCGGGAAGUGCAUUCGAAACUGCCAGGCUAGAGUGUCGGAGAGGUUGGUGGAAUUCUCGGUGUAGAGGUGAAAUUCGUAGAUAUCGAGAGGAACACCGGUGGCGAAGGCGGCCAACUGGACGAACACUGACGCUGAGACUCGAAAGCGUGGGGAGCAAACAGG
rnacentral:rRNA from 1 species